GAAUACACAAUGCUAGAUGAUACAUAUAGGUGUUUGUGUUUGUACUAAGGAAUAAAAGGAGGAGGAAUACACAAUGCUAGAUGAUACAUAUAGGUGUUUGUGUUUGUACUAAGGAAUAAAAGGAGGAGGAAUACACAAUGCUAGAUGAUACAUAUAGGUGUUUGUGUUUGUACUAAGGAAUAAAAGGAGGAGGAAUACACAAUGCUAGAUGAUACAUAUAGGUGUUUGUGUUUGUACUAAGGAAUAAAAGUAGGAAGAAUACACAAUGCUAGAUGAUACAUAUAGGUGUUUGUGUUUGUACUAAGGAAUAAAAGGAGGAGGAAUACACAAUGCUAGAUGAUACAUAUAGGUGUUUGUGUUUGUACUAAGGAAUAAAAGGAGGAGGAAUACACAAUGCUAGAUGAUACAUAUAGGUGUUUGUGUUUGUACUAAGGAAUAAAAGGAGGAGGAAUACACAAUGCUAGAUGAUACAUAUAGGUGUUUGUGUUUGUACUAAGGAAUAAAAGGAGGAGGAAUACACAAUGCUAGAUGAUACAUAUAGGUGUUUGUGUUUGUACUAAGGAAUAAAAGAAGGAGGAAUACACAAUGCUAGAUGAUACAUAUAGGUGUUUGUGUUUGUACUAAGGAAUAAAAGUAGGAAGAAUACACAAUGCUUGAUAAUACAUAUAGGUGUUUGUGUUUGUACUAAGGAAUAAAAGUAGGAGGAAUACACAAUGCUUGAUAAUACAUAUAGGUGUUUGUGUUUGUACUAAGGAAUAAAAGGAGGAGGAAUACACAAUGCUAGAUGAUACAUAUAGGUGUUUGUGUUUGUACUAAGGAAUAAAAGGAGGAGGAAUACACAAUGCUUGAUAAUACAUAUAGGUGUUUGUGUUUGUACUAAGGAAUAAAAGGAGGAGGAAUACACAAUGCUAGAUGAUACAUAUAGGUGUUUGUGUUUGUACUAAGGAAUAAAAGUAGGAAGAAUACACAAUGCUUGAUAAUACAUAUAGGUGUUUGUGUUUGUACUAAGGAAUAAAAGGAGGAGGAAUACACAAUGCUAGAUGAUACAUAUAGGUGUUUGUGUUUAUACUAAGGAAUAAAAGGAGGAGGAAUACACAAU